rnacentral:piRNA from 1 species
UACAAAAAAAUAAAGUGGUAGGUUC